UUCUGUCCUCUGCCUGGGCAUCCCGUGUUGCAACUGUAUGAGUCACGUAUUCCUCCCAUGUAAAUUGGUUCCCAGAUGAAUGAGUGUGAUUGGGAAUGAUUGAAAUACAAUGGUAGCAGGCCUCUACUGAAUGGCCUGUAAUGACUGGGCCAUCACCUCUCAUUGAUUGACCCAGGAACCACAGACCUCACCCAGGAACAGAGACAAGACCAGCAUUUGAAAGACAAAAGACCCUGCAGAAUCAGCAACUCUCACCAUUACAUACACCAGAAACUGCACAUUCCUGCAUGGAGCACACAUGCUCAGUAUGCCAAGGGCUGAUAUUUGCCUGGGCAUGCCUCCUGUCACUAGCGUCACACAAGGUCUGCCCCUAUAAAAAGGGGCAGUGAAGACAGACCCAGUGGGACGCCCUCUCCAUCUGGACCAGCACCAUGCCACACCACCUAUCCAUCCCAGAGGCCCUGCCGGCGACCCCUCUCUGGACAACACCUACUGGACAAGGACCCCUUUCCAGCCUGGAUAGCCAGGCUUGUUCUACUUACUGAGAAACCAAAGGCACAGUGAAAAAGGACAUGCCAGAUAUUAUUGAAGAUUACAGGACUAUUCGAUAUGGACAUGCUCUCUUAGAGCGUUGCUGCUCCCUGCUCACCGAUUCAGCAUCGUCCCAGCUAACCAGAUGGGAGUAUCAAUAAGCAGUAACUUCAUUGGUGCCAAUGGAAUUCAUGUGGGAAGAAUGAGGGAAGAAUCAAGCCUUAAAAAAUUUAAGAAACACAAGUAUCUGCCUGUCAAAAGGGGCAGGAUAACACCAUGGAGACUGACUGAUUCACAAAGACAUCUUAUAUAAGCAACAGCUUACAUUGUCUGCCUGACGCAUAGGUACAGCAGUUAUUUACACUGAAGAUUAACAAAAUGUUCUACUAGGCAGAUACUAUAGUGGAACAACUCGCUUUCCAUUUUUCUUUGAGCAUAUUUGUCUUCACUUCAUGAGUCUGCACUGAGGCUAAACUAAUGGUGGAAACAAUCACUAAAGCUUGGAUACUAGAAAUGGAGUAAACGUAUUUUUAAUACUUGAUUUUUGAUACAUUCUCUCCCACUUGUUUCUGAAACUUAAGAGAUACAUAAAUAAAUACAUUUACAAAACAUAUAAAGCCCCCCAAAUUUUAAUUCCCACCAAUCCUUCAGAAAAAAUUACGCUUUUUACAGGAUACAUACUUUUUCAAAAUAAUUUACUUGCAAGAGUCCUACAACACGUCUAAAAAGCAAUCAAAUUGAAAAGCAGCUACUGUUUAGUACAGUACCUCAAAGUGAAAAUCAUAUUAAAUACUUUGUCUCCCUCCAUACUGAAUGUUUUGAACACUAUACAAUUGGUUAUCCAUUUGAGUCUUCCAUGUCCAAUUUUAUCUUUUUAUGUGAAACUCCAUCUAUUAAAAUACUUUCUCCUUUAGAAAAGAAAUAUUUCCUCCGGUUAUACUGAAAUACUUUAUCUUAAGAAAAAGUGCAUCUGUACAGAAAAUAAUCUAGAAAGCUUCUGCAAAUUAAGAUUAAUUUAAAUCCAGGAUGUUAAUGGAGACCAUCAUACAAGCUUUACUAUUGCAUGCAAUAGUCAGAGUCUUGCUCUUAAUAUGUGCAACAUGGUAUACCUGUGUCAUCACUUUCCCCAGAGUCUUUUCUAUCAUCUACAAACUUUUCUAUUCCCUUGGCCUGUACUUCUAGGCUUUUUAGUCUGAGAAAGCUUAAUAGAGGGAUGACUACAGAACUAAAAUCUGGAAGUUCCAAAUUCCAAACUCAGUUAUAAAACGAACUUGAAACGACUACUCUGUGCCUCAACUACACACUAAGAAAAUACCCACCUGCUUCACACAAGGGUAUGGGUGAAUUAGUUGAUUUUGGACAGCCUGGUCACAUCUACAUGAGAUGCUGACUGUGCAGUAGUCCAUUACUACUGCACAUUAGCAUUGUAUGGCAAAGACCAUGACGCAACACUACUGCAGAGUAGCAUCACAAAAAAGAAGUUAAUUGGUGCUACUGCAUAGUAACUCGGGUUACUGCACAGUUAUUUAGUAUUUAUUUAAAGUGUAAACAAGUAGUAAAUGACUGCACAGUAACAACUGUAUAGUUAGUGUCUUGUGUAGAUGCGUCCUGUGUAGUUUUUUUUUAGUAAAAAAGCUAAAUAUUCAUUAAUUUUUGACAUGCGUUAUAACAACUCUCAUAGAAUUUUCAUUUAGUGAUCCUUCUACCAAAGUAACUCUCCUGGGCCUUUUUUCUGCCUGGCUAAUAUGAAUUGCUGCAAAGAACAUAAUGGUUUAUAGGCAUAGGCUGAGGAAGUUGCUUGUCACCUGUUUAGCACUAACUAUUUUCAAUUUUGAUAGAACCACAUUUCUCUGGUGUCCCUUCUACCAGACAGUGCUCAAAGAAUACAUGCAUGACCAUAUCACCAUUUGCUACUUCUCAGCCAAGAGCUAUGAUGUGAUGAACUUUACCCUUUUAAUCUGGGAAAGUGAUUUCAAACUAGACUUCUACAUAAGGAAAUCUUCUGUCUCUUUUCUCACUAAAAAGUUUUGUGAACCUAUGUUUAAUUACUACCUUAGGCAGACAAGGUUCCUUGGGUAAAUUUGAUAUCUUUUAUUAGACCAACCCAAAUAGUUGGAGAAUAGUUAUUAAGCAAGUUUUCGAGUUCAAAAACCCUUUGUCAGGCUAAGGAAGUUUCAGCAGUUGGUGUGUGCUCUUCCUGGAUGGAAUUACUACCUUGAAGUUUGUAUUGCAUUAGUGUAUCUCUCACUCUUGGCUCUUCAUUAUUCUGGGCCAUUAACACACUACAAGAGAAGGAAAAGCACUACGCAAUUUAAAUGGAGAGUCAAGGACUGAGAACUAUAUCCCUCUCUACACAGCAAAAGGAUCGCAGCCAUCCCAUAUUCAUCUAGAGAAAAAUCAAGACUUCUGUUUUCACUUAAUAUUAGUAUAAAAAAAUCUAAGAUUUCCUUGACAGAACCAGACAGCUACAAUAAUUUUAGAGUGGGAGAUGGUGAUUUAAAACCUGCCUGCAAACAGUGCAGAAUGCAGUGUCUCCUUGUCUUUGCUUGAAGCUAAACAUUAUUCAGUAGAGAUACAACAGAACAUGUAAUCGACACCUCUUGCUAGCACAAGUUAUUUUCAUAGUACAAACAGACUUGAAACAGAAAGGUACCAUGGAUCGAACACAGGAAGCCACAGUUUUCUAGAGAAAAGGAUAUAUGCGGCUGAGAUAAGAUACAGAGGAGCCCAGCUGCCAUUCUUUUGAAAUUCAAAUAAAAAAAAAACUCGAAGUCCUGGAGAAAUCGUCACUUGCAUCUACUAAAAUUCAUAAUUGAAACAGAACAGGAUAGAAAAGAUCAGCUUUAGGCUGGUAUUCUACAAUUCUAUAACACUAUCAUUUAACACAGAUUUCUGACUGUAAGUCCUAUGUUUUACCAGGUUUGUUCAACGUGCACUCUUCUUUCCCUUGAUAAAUUUAUAAACACAAAUAAGUAAUUGAAAAUUAGAACAAUUUGGGUUUCCAGUUAUUCAAGCCUAAAACUAUAGGCUUUUUUGAGUUUUAUUGUCUUUUGCAGUCUCCUUAAUGUGUACUGACUAAAAUAAAAGCAGAAUUUACUUAGGUCCAUCACUCUCAGAAGAAACCAUUUGUUGUUCCUCCUAGCAUAAAUUAACUAUGAUAGCAGCCAAAAUUGAGAUUAAUGAACAGUUCGAUAGAUUCCUCAGUUCAUCCCAUCCUUAUUUUCGGCAUAGAUUACUAUCACAGGAUUACCCUUGUGUAUUAAACCAUAGGGGUGGGAAUGGGUUUACAUUGUCAUAGAGAGGGCAAUUCAUAACCUGAGCCUUUCAAAUGUGUAAGGGAAACAAAACAAGAGCCUUCCUAGGGAAUCCCAUGAAUCUUAAAGGCCUUUCUAAGGAUUUUGUGUAUAGUUGAUCCAUGCCAGUUCUCUGCCUCCUUUUAUUGCUUGUUGCUCUCACCAGUAGCUGGAGCCAUAAACACUGAUCUUUCCCCAUUUGACUCUGCAAGCUGCAUCCUCAAUUUAGCCUAUAACAUGAAAUGACAUUUAGAAAAGUCCCCUUAAAUAUUAACUAUUUGCUCAGUUUAAAUACUUGGGCAUCACACAUUCCUUUCACCAUUUUUGAGGACUGUAUAAAGGGAAGAAAAGGAAUGGUUAUCCAAUUAGAAAAGCACUAUGUUCAAAUAUGUAGUAAAGUUAGCUUUAGUUUUGUGUAGAUGCCAAGUAUUUAGUUUCAAAUCUCACUGUGCUUUAAAAAAAUGACUGGUCCUUCAAGGAGCCUCCAAGAGGACUCACAGGCCUGAGCCAUCAGCUAAUUGUGAAUUUCCUGAUUUAAUAUAAUAUUUUUAUAUCAUAUACACAGAUUAAUUGAUCACUUUUACCAUUUUAAACAAACGCUUAAUAUCCUCUUAAAGAGAGAUGGCAGAUCAAUAAUAGUAUACUGUGUAGCAGAAACACAAUUUUAUUUUAUUACAGAACAUAGUUGCUUGCUGGCAUAGCAGAACUAAAUCCAAUAACUUAACUAGAUUUUCUAUAGAUUACUGACUAGGAGAAUACAGUAGUAUUAUACGAAGUGAGUUUAUAGGAAGCUUCUCAGAUUUCCAAAACCAUGGUUGACAGCAGUGACGAAAAAGGUAUCCUUCUUAACAGAAAAUGCAAGCUAAAAUGGAACAUGCCCUUCUUCCAAAUAAACUUUUACUCUAUAACAUCUGUCUUGUAGGGCUGUGCAAAGCUUCACCAUCUGUGUCAUUUUGACGCUGUUUCGACUAGUUUCAAACUCAAAACAGCGAAAUCAAAAGGAAACAAACAGCUUUGAAACAGCCUCAAAACGAAACUAGGCAAGUCAAAACAUUUUGAAAGUUUUGAAACACUUUGAAUCUUGAAGCAGCCCAGUGGUGGGAGGCAGGGGAAAGUCAGAGCUGCACUCCAAGUACCUGCACAGCCCCAUGUGGCUCAGCCAAGCAGGGAGCGCACCCCUUGCAUACCAACAGCCCUGGUGCUGCUCUCUGAUUCCCCCCACCGGACUCAGUUCCAUGGGGCUGUGAGCCACUGGGAGCUGAUUUUCCCCAGGCCCCGCUCCAGAGGCAAUUGGAGGAAAAUGCUGGGCCCAGGGCAAAUCAGCUUCUGUGGGAACCCACCACCACCCUGCGAUCAGCUCUGGUGCAGG